UACGGGGGGAGCAAGCGUUGUUCGGAUUUACUGGGCGUAAAGGGCGCGUAGGCGGCCACCGCAAGUCGACUGUGAAAUCUCCGGGCUUAACCCGGAAAGGUCAGCCGAUACUGCGGGGCUAGAGUGCAGAAGGGGCAACUGGAAUUCUCGGUGUAGCGGUGAAAUGCGUAGAUAUUGGGAAGAACACCUGAGGCGAAGGCGGGUUGCUGGGCUGACACUGACGCUGAGGCGCGAAAGCCAGGGGAGCAAACGGG
rnacentral:rRNA from 1 species